rnacentral:rRNA from 1 species
UGCGUAACGCGUGGGAAUCUGCCUUUAGGUUCGGGAUAACAGUUAGAAAUGACUGCUAAUACCGGAUGAUGUCUUCGGACCAAAGAUUUAUCGCCUUUAGAUGGGCCCGCGUUGGAUUAGCUAGUUGGUGGGGUAAAGGCCUACCAAGGCGACGAUCCAUAGCUGGUCUGAGAGGAUGAUCAGCCACACUGGGACUGAGACACGGCCCAGACUCCUACGGGAGGCAGCAGUGGGGAAUAUUGGACAAUGGCGAAAGCCUGAUCCAGCA